rnacentral:lncRNA from 1 species
AUUCAUUGAUCGAGGCGAACGAAAUUCCUGGUUGCAUGAAAGUAUCUUGCUAUAGCUGUAAUUUUUGGAGGAUAAUAAAAGGCUAUAAGGUGCGCCAUAUGGCUUGUGAGGUAGCAGGGUCUAGUUAGCAGCUUAUGUGCUUGGAUUCAACUCGACGGAUGCAUGGGCGCGUCUAGACCAUGUUGACGGCUGGGCUGUGAUGGCUCAUCGCCUCGACCUUGCAGCUCCUGGGCACUGCCAUCUCUGUGGCAGGGUGCACGUUGACGACGUGCUCCUCUCCUGCCGCCGGCAGCUUCCCGGCGGCUACCUUACCCUCGGGGACCAAAGGCGUCUUGUUCAUGUAGAACAUGUACAGCCCCAUCUGGACGAUUCCGAAGGCGAACCCAAGGACGUUUGGAAGCUGCAGAGAUCACAAUUUCUUAUCGAUUAGUAUCAGUAAGAUGCAUAGUCAAUUCACCAAAUUAAACGUCUAAAGAAAGACCAAACAGAUAUAUGUUAGAAAUUAGCUAGUUACCGCGACAUAUUUGUCCUUGAUGAGGAGGCCGUAGAGGAACCAGACGACGGCGCUGAGGGUGAGCGAGAGGGAGAGGGAGAAUGGCAUGUACUCCACGCUCCUCGUCUUGAUCACGCGCCUCUGCACGUGCACAAAGCAUGAGAUGGCCAUUAGCACGAGAUCAUCAUCACACAACAGUACAGGAUCUCGGUGCAUUAUUGCACUGAUAUAUGGAGUGCUCAGUACUCACGAUGAUGCUGAGUGGCGCGACGAAGACGCCGACGGAGAAGCCGACGCAGAUCCAGCCCAGCGUGACGAUUCGCUUGUCACCCUUGAAGACGAGGAGGGUAAAGAGUAGGAUAGCUCCGAAGAAGCCGACGUUGAGGCCAAGCAUGAUCUUGGCAGUGAACCACCUGGCUUUCUUGUCCGCGUAGACGAAGUACAAGAUGACGUAGAUGCUCUCGAUGACGAAGCCGGCGACGUUGAUGGUGAUGAGCAGGAUCUCGUUGGUUUUGAUCAGCGCAUAGAAGAUCCACAGCAUCGCACUGAACAGAGCCACCACGUAGGGAACCGACUGGAAACCCUCUGUCGACUUGCUCUUGUAGAUGCGGUAGAACGUCGGGCUGCACAUACAAAAAUACAAUGAUCGCAAAUAUAUAUGGUUAAUUUCAAAACAUCAAUUUUAAACGCAUAGCAAUGUCAACUUGUUAAGCUCCUUUUAAAAAUAACUUGUUAAGCUAAUAUACGAAAUGAGAAUUUGGUGAGGCGGUACUUACAUUGGGGCCAGGAAGGUCAUGAAGGAGAUGAUGUUGCCUGCAACACAAAUGGACGCCAAGGAUCAGACGUUUGCAAAAGCUGGCAAAGAGCCCAAAGCUGGGAUAAGAUGUGAUGAGGUGACAAGUUACAUGUCCGGUCUUAUUUGCCUUCUUUUGUGAGCAAAGAUUGGUGUGGCUUUAUUUUUAUUUUUCGCUAGAUGAGCUCUUGUGUUGUGGUGCACUAUGACGUCAACACUACUACACAGCAGUAGCAGCAGUGGCCUGACUACGUACGUCACCCAACUGGCAAGAUAGAUGCUUCAAAAGGACUGAUUGCUAGCUUAACAAGUAGUCUAUGAUAAGAAAUGUAUCGGCUAACAAAAGCAUCGGUCAAUCAUGACAAAGGUGAUAAAAUCUAGUGAUGUAUGGCACUGGCACAAGUGAAUAUGAUCAGUUUAUGGCCACAUGAAGCUUCUCACUUUUGGAAAAUGUUUGGAAGCUGCGCAAGCUCACAACUACGUAUAAUUGAUUCAACGCGAUCACUGGAUCGGUGUGCAACUCCCACUAAGUAGCUUGUAUGUAGUAUCAUAGACUAGCAACUAUGAAAUGAUAAGAUGCUUCCUAAAACAAAUUUAUAGCAAUUUGUAAAGCGCAACCGAGUCGAAUAGAAUUGAAAGGAUGAGCGAUUCAUGGGCAUGCAAACUCUUGUUUUGUGAAAGGGGUAAUAUUUACCUAGGAGGCCGAAGGUGAAUGCCCAGGGAUGCUGAAGAGAAAACCCAGCCAUUUGUGAUAAAAAAAAUAGGUGUGAGAUGGUGGCAAGAAUUUCGAAAGUUCCAACACAGGCUAUUUGGCACUUCUCUUCCUCUCUAACCCUUGGCCCCUACAGGAGGGAGGGAGAGCUCUGAGG